rnacentral:lncRNA from 1 species
GUUUUAAGUAAGUGGCCUUGGUUUGCCUUCUGGCACACAAAAAAUAAAGUAACAGAGACACCUAGUGGGAGCUGAUAGCAAGUGCUCCAGCAAGUCUGAGUGCCUGUGUCUGGGAUCAGGUGGAGACCCGGAGGAUGGAACCACUGUGGCCCAUGAGUGCACAAUGAGGCCAACAGGCUCUCUCGAGCCAUGCCAGGGCAGCCUUCACCAAUGGGAAGCCCUGCUCAUCCACCCUGCAGCUGGUCCUUGUCACCAAGGCUCUGUUCUGAACAACCUCUGGGGACAAAGAGUCUGUUGCUGUAUCAGCUCACACGGGUGGACCUAGCCUCAGGUCGUGGUGGGGGAUGUAGGAAAGCAGACAGUUUUCUGCUUUGAGGAGUUGGCAGAAAACGAUUGGACUUGGCACUUUUUUUGCUGUGUGACCUCGGAUGAAUCAUUUAGCAUCUCUGAGCUCCAGUUUCCUUGUGUGCAAAAACAGAGUUAGUAAUAGUGAGGAUGGUUUAAAAUGAUGGAUGUAGAAAGCGAAGUGCUGAGUCUAUGCCCAUACCCCCUUGAAUGCACCCGAACUUGUCUGAUCUCAGAAGCUAAACAGGGUCAGGCCUGGUUAGUACUUGGAUGUGACAAAGUUAAGCACUGUGUUGUUGACACACAGGAAGCACCCAAUAAAUGGUAGCUAUUGUUGUUAUUGUUAUGAUUUUAUGGUGGAUAACCGCACAUGAAAUAAAUAGGGAAUAAAUCCACACAAUAUUGAACCAAGUGAAAGCCAUCGUAGUUUAUAGCAGGUGAGAGACAGGGCUAUUCCAGAUCUGCAGUAGUUAGGUGAGGCCUCAUGGAGAAGACAAGAUUUCUGAUGAGCCUCUGACUGCAACAACAAACAAAUUAUACUCCUACUGGCUGAAACAAUUAUGGGGUGUGUUGGCUCAUAUAACUUGGUAAGAUUUGAUCCAGUGCCUUGAUGAUGUUACGAGGAGCCAAUCUUUUCUUUUAAAAAUAUUCUUGUGACAUAAAAAAGAUUUAGAAAACGACAUAGCAUUCACCUUAGGAAAUAAAAUAGCAAAUAUAGUUGAGGCUUCCUGGCCCUCCUUCAGUUGCAUUUCCCCUUCCCCUACCCUGC